UUUCCCUCUUCCAUUGCUUGGCAGGGGCUCUCAUCUAAUGUUCUUGUUUACUGCUACUCCAAAGUUUAGUCCAAAGCCCCCUCUGCUGUUGAAAUAAAAGUUUAGAGAUGCUGUAACAGGUGGCCAUUCUCACUCCAGACAGCUCACUAACAAUCGCCCCCUGCUGUUCAGCAGGAACUGUUCAAGAGAAAGCUGAAAAGAGAAAAUGUUAGUUCUUCAGAUAAUUCUUAUACAAACUCAAUUACAAAAUUAAGUAGACCUAAUUGAUAUGAUUUACUCAUUUUAUUUUAUUUAUUUUUCCACCUUCAAGUGAUUAAAUACAUUUGCUAUCUAUAUUUUGCAUGGCACAUCCACUUUAAAGCAUCAGACACUGGAGAUCACUUUGGUACUUCAAUUGACACUGCAGAGGAUGUGCACGAGGGGAAGAUGAAUGCUCCACCAGAGGACAAGUCGAAUAGUGGCUCAUCAGACUGGCUGAUCAUUGUCGGUGUGAUUGUGGCCGUUGCAGCCAUUAUUCUCAUCUGUGCUGCUGUGGCAACAAGGAAAAGGUGGUGUGGUAAGCAUCAGACUCUGAUGAUCACCUCGAAGAGCAGCAGUGAAGGGAACGGCACAGCAGCCGCAGCAAGCAGCUCCCGCGCCCAAGAGAGAGAGCAGGAGAUGGUGACGCUCAUGCACAAAGAGAAGAUCCAGGAGAACGGCAACACGGAGGAGUUUACUGUCAUCACUCUGGAGGAGUCACCAGAAAAGAACCAGCAGGCAUGAGAGAAAGAGAAAGAGAGAGAGAGAGUGAGCAAGAGGUAGGAGGUAAGGUGUGAGAUAGGAAGGUCAUGGUUUAUAUGUUGACCAGGGAGAGAGAAACUGGUUGGUUUAGUGCACUGACAGACUGGUCUGGAGAGCAAUGGACACUCUCAUACUGCUUAAGAGAUAAGGUGGAGGGUGUCUGCAAGGUGAGCGAUUUUGUUUGUCAGUCCAAAUGUGUCUCAGUUUUUUGUUUUUCUUGUGAUAGCAGUGAAUCCUCUUUGAUAACUGUACUCCACCACUUCAAAAGGGACAACUUCUACUUAAUGGCUUAAAUUUGGGUGUCAGACAAAGGAAAAAUGCAGCAGUUCUUUAUAUUCCAACGAAGGAGAAACAUCUGUAUUUUCAUAUUUGCCUUUCAUAGUGAGAGGCCUUGAUGAUAUAGGUCAGACUUGCAUUGCACUGGGUCAUGCCUUUAGACCGAAUGCGGCUGACUUUACAUAGAUAAGAGAAGGUGUUUAGACUCGAGCCUAGACAUCAGAACUUAGGGCAAAUUUGACCUAGACUGCCUAAUUUGCAAGCAGAUAAUGCUGCCUACAUACACAAAAGCUUUCAGAUAGCUGCUAAAAAUGCUAACAGGUGUCAUUUAAUCACAAUUUUGUGCAUGCAAUCUCACAUCUUACUUUCUCUGGCCUUUCAUUGAAGAAGCUUUGUUUAUGUAUGACACCAGUCACUGUUAUCCUAAUGCAAGCGAUUCUGAAAUCUGAUUUCUGACAAUCUAGGAUGCUACAAUUAUCUUGCUCUGAUGGGAUGUUGUUCAUCUUUAACAGAUUAUAUUCAAAUCUAAACUUUCUGAUUUCUGAAAUCCCUUAAAGCUUUACUUUAACAUUUUGUUAUGCUUCUGGCUUUUGGGGUGCAGGACAGUCUUAUGGGGAAGGGCCUAAUGUAAAAUUGUAAAUAAGGGCCAUUAAAGUGCUGGGCUUUUCUCUGCUGAGUGUUAGAUAUAUACGACAAGAAAGGCUGCUAGUAGCUGAAGAUGUGACAUAGUGCACAGUGAUGAUGCAGCCCGCUGACGUGUUUUAGAAUCUUUAUGUCUUACCUGUUCUUUCUUUAUGUUAUAACCUUGUGUAGCUUUUCUUUUGUUUUUCUUUUAUUUGGUUCCUGUGGACGGGGAUAUACUUUUUUCCUUUCAAAGGAACGAGAUGUUAUUAUUUUAAUUUAUGCUUUUUUGAAUGUUAAUUGUAUAUACCACAAUGCUUGUUUACCAUAGAUUUUAAGAUUGGAUGUCCUGAAAUGUAUGGUAUUACUUUGUUUCACAGUUGUGGUAACUAUAGAGCAGUAACACUUUAAGUUCUAGGUAUUAGCUAGGGAGGUGUAAGGUACAAAUGCCAAAGUGCUAGUUAAGUAUUUGGGUUACAUAAUGGUACAUUCCAAGGUAGUCUAAACUAAAUUACACUGAAAUGCAGAAUAGGUUGUAACUAUCAAUGGGUACAUGUGUGGUACAAGCCACACUUAUGGGUAAAAAGUAGCAGGUAGUUAUUAAAUGUAAAAAAAAAAUCUGAAUAAAACACAAAAAGUGUCAUAUAGUGUAAAGCUGUCUAUUACCUGAAUCUGGGCUAUAAAAUAAAGCAGUGAUUCUUAAUAUCGUUUCCCACUGUCCCUAACAUUUACUUCAGAAAAGUGUCUUUGUAUUUUUGUGUUUUGUAUCUUGUACUUUAGAUAACUAUGUUUGUCAUUUUUGCUGUCAUUUUACUCCCUAUAACUUGGACUACUUAACACCUUGUCACUGCAAAUAUUUAUGAGGCAUUUUACUGUGUCCUUUGUCAGCUUAAGAGCUAGAAUAUGUGAUUAUAGUUUAAUGCUUAUCAUCAUUUUAUCCAAAAACAAUAACUCAGCACUUCAAGCUUGUACCCCAUACUCACUCAGUGGAUACCUAGAACUGGUUUGACAUUUAAGUGAAACUUAGUUAAACUGUUUUAAAACUUAUCAUCAUAAUCAUCAAAAUAACAAUCUAGUUCUUUGGAGUUUGUACCUUGCAUACUUAAUACCUAGAACAUAGGAGACAGUUAAAAAAAGUAUUAUGAUAACCCCCCCCACACCCACGAUUUUUUAACCAGCUUAAUCUUCUGGGUCGCAGAGGUGCUAAAGCCUAUCCCAGCAGUCAUUGGGCGGAAGGUAGGAAACAUUUACAUUUACGGCAUUUGGCUGACGCUCUUAUCCAGAGUGACUUACAAUUUGAUCAUUUUGCACAGGCAGGCCAAGGUGGUGUUCGGAGUCUUGCCCAAGGACUCUUAUUGGUAUAGUGUAGGGUGUUUGCCCAGGUGGGGAUUGAACCCCAGUCUACAGUGUAGAAGGCAGAGGUGUUGACCAAUACACUAUCCCAACCACAGGAAACAUCCUGAACCGGUAGCCAGUCAUUACCACAAUAAUUGUAUCCUAAAUUUUAUAAAAACAUCAAACAUCUUUCUUUUACCAUUGUAUUAAUUGCCUUAAUCAGUUUAAAUGUAAACUCAUUUCAUAUCAGAUUGAUGAUGUAAUAUAUGAGAACUACUACUGAUUUGUAUUUUUAAUACUCCAAAAUUAUAAUAUCAAAAACAUGCUGGUCCAGGAAAAGCUAUUGAAGAUUCAUGUGUCAUCGCUCUUAUCAUGCAUAUGCAAUUUAUAUUUACUGACUUUGAUGACAGUUAAUUAUCUUAGUUCAGAAACACCAGUGAUAUUGUGUGACCACAUUACCAACAAUGCGGGAUGUUUCACUUUGUUAUAUUAAGAUAAUAGGGGAAUUAAAUGAUGUUGCUUCCUAGUCAUGCUUUGCACAUUACAGUGCCUCCAAAGGCUCAAAGCAAAUGUACAUAUUUCCACACAUAAGCUUUCUUUUUCUCUUUCAGUGCAUUGAGAUGAUCAUAAAAUGAAAAGCAAAAAAAUCUAUGACUCCUUUAGACACAGAAUUCCAUUUCUUUUUUUCCCAUUGCUUUUCCUUCUGCCUUGUUGUGCUGACAUGCAUCUUUUCGAUUUUGUAUGCGGGAGAAUAGCAAAUGUAGUAGUGGUAGGAGUGUGUAACGAGUGUGUACAAUGAUAAAAUAACAGAUGAUUAUGAAGUACAAAAAUCAUGUUGUGUCCCAAAUGUAAUAAACAUGUAUAUAGGUGUUUGGGGAUUGUUGUUAGUUUGUGUGUUCUUUUUUUUAAUUUCUGAAGAGAAUGUCCAUUUAAACCAUUGAUUGCUUUUUCUUCAUUUUCCAGUUCCUACUUUCCAUUCUUAGCAAUAAAGUGGGAAAUACACUAUAUGGGCAAAAACAUUAGGACACACCUCUUAAUCAUUGAGUUCAAGUGUUUCAUUCAGUCCUGUUGCCACAAGUGUACAAAAUCAAGCACCCAGCUUGCCUUUACAAACAUUUGUGAAAGAUUGGGUCAUUCUAAAGAGAUCACUGAAUUUGAGUGUGGUACUGUGAUAGGAUGCCGCUGUGCAAUAAGUCAGCAAAAUGUCUUCCCUCCUAGAUAUACCACGAUCCACUGUAAGUGGUAUUACUGAAAAGUGGAAGUGUUUAGAAAUGACAGCAACUCAGCCACAAAGUGGCAGACCAUGUAAAGUUAUAGAGCGGGGUUGCAGAGUGCUGAGGCGCAUAGAUUAAGAGACCCUUAUUAGUCCCACAACAGGGAAAUUUCACCUCUGCAUUUAACCCAUCUGUGAAGUGAAACACCACAUACACUCUAGUGAGCACACACACACUAGGGGGCAGUGAUCACACUUGCCCAGAGCCGCAGCGCCCUGGGAGCAGUUGGGGGUUAGGUGUCUUGCUCAAGGACACCUCAGUCAUGUGCUGUCAGCUCUGGGGAUCGAACUGGUGACCUUCCGGUCACAAGGCUGGAUCCCAACCUCCAGCCCACGACUGCCCCAUUAGUGCAUAAAAGUCUCCAAUGCUCUGCUGACUCAGUAACUGCAGUGUUCCAAACCUCCUCUGGCAUUAACAUUGGCAGAAAACUGUGCGCCAGGAGCUUCAUGGCAUGGGUUUCUAUGGCCAAGCAACGCAAUAUCAAGCAUCAGAUUUGGUGGUGUAAAGCACUGCUGCUGGACUUUGGAGCAGUGGAAAUUCUGUUGAGUGAUGAAUUACAUUUCUCUAUCUGGCAGUCUGAUGGAUGAGUCUGGGUUUGAUGAAUGCCAGGAGAACACUGCCUGCCUGACUGCACUGUGCCAACUGUAAAGUUUGGUGGGAAAUCAUAAAGCUUCAGUAGACCAAGAGAUUUUUGAAAAUUGUUUGCUUCCAACUUUGUGGGAACAGUUUGGGAAAGGCCCCUUUUCAUUCCAGCAUGACUGAGCCCCAGUGCACAAAGCAAGGUCCAUAAAGGCGUGGUUAGAUGCGUUUAGUGCAGAAGAACGAGGCUGGCCUCCACAGAGCUCUGACUUCAAUUCCAUCAAACACCUUUGGGAUGAACUACGAUGGAGAUUGAGAGCCUGGCCCUCGCAUCCAACAUCAGUGUCUGACCACAAAUGCUCUUCUGGAUGAAUGGGGAAAAUUCCCACAGACACACUCCA
ensembl:lncRNA